rnacentral:sRNA from 1 species
CAAUUAUUCAUUGCAUUUGUAGCAUGAACCAGGCAGUGUAAACAUUUACAGAGUUUGACAAAUAUAUCUGUCAAUUCAAUAAUUUCACUAGAUAAUUAAAUCUUUGUUUUGUUAUGUGCUGUUAAAGGAUUAAUCUCACUGAAAUAUUUUUUUAUUAUUAUUUUUUUUUUUGAAGGGCCAACUGUAUCAAAUUAUAUUUACACCAUAAAUUGCAUGUAUUUUUAGUUGUUGAUUUAUUUCUACUUGGGUCUUUUAAUUAUAACUUGAAUGACAAUUUGUCACUUAAUUAUGACUUAAAUGACGAGAGAUUUCAAUUUAUGUCACCUAAUUAUAACUUGAAUGACAAGAGUUGGGGCUUGUUCACACAAAUAUCAUUUAUAUAGACUGUGAUGUGUUUUUAUGACCCCCCAAAAAAACUAUGCAAAAUUCAUUGGUACCAUUCAAAUCAGUUGUUAUGAUUUUGCAUUAAUUUUUACAGUAUUAUAUUGGUCAAAUUCAUUUUAAAUCAAAAACAUAAUCCCAAAAUGAUUUGUUUGUGUGAACUACAUCUUCAUUCAUUACUUUGACUAUUUAUAUAGUAUAUGGGUAGUCAAAAUUUAAUGCAUGAACAGAGCAACAUCUCUUUGACAAGUCACUAUUAGGUUUAGAUAAUUAUAUAAAUACAAUUUUUUAAAGAGUUUCCAGUUCCCAUACUAACCCUUAAUUACCUACCUUUUAUUGUUUAUAUUUUCUUGGGGAAAAAAAGCAUUUUGGGUUUUAAAAACACCUUACAGAUGUCUCUAAUUUAUUUAUGUCCAAACAUGAAUUGGAAAAUUAGGCCUUCAGUGUAUUAAGAUGAGUUUAUAGCAACAAUAAAAAGUUGGGAGAAUGAUAUCUUUACCACCUUUUAUUCAGGGAGGAAUUGGAAACUCUUUUUAUUUAUCCAGGAUUCAAUAUUUUUUUUAUUAACCUGAGAACGUGCCACACACUACUGGUAUUUUACAAUUUCUAUAUUGAGAUUCCAUUUGUUCUAUGUUGUUUUACACUGUACUUAAUUUUCUGUGUUUAAUUAUGGCAAAUUCUGUAAAGCAAUUUUGCUGUUUAUUUAGAUAUUUAUGAUACUGCAUUAAUCAAACAAAAUUAUUUAAUUAAAUUAUAUGGCAAACCC